AGCUCCAAUAGCGUAUAUUAAAGUUGUUGCGGUUAAAAAGCUCGUAGUUGGAUUUUGGAAUCAGAGCUAUCGGUCGACUUCGUGUUGCACUGAUGGGUCGGUUCUUCUGUCUGGGGAGACCUUGCUCCACGUCAAGUGGGUCUUGGGACACCUAGUACUUUUACUUUGAACAAAUUAGAGUGCUCAAAGCAGGCCUACGCCUUGAAUACAUUAGCAUGGAAUAACGUAUAGGACUCUGGCCCUAUUUUGUUGGUUUUAAGGACCCGAGUAAUGAUUAAUAGGGAUAGUUGGGGGCAUUAGUAUUUAAUUGUCAGAGGUGAAAUUCUUAGAUUUAUGAAAGACUAACUUCUGCGAAAGCAUUUGCCAAGGAUGUUUUCAUUA
rnacentral:rRNA from 1 species